rnacentral:rRNA from 1 species
UAGGGAAUCUUCGGCAAUGGGGGCAACCCUGACCGAGCAACGCCGCGUGAGUGAAGAAGGUUUUCGGAUCGUAAAGCUCUGUUGUAAGAGAAGAACGUGUGUGAGAGUGGAAAGUUCACACAGUGACGGUAACUUACCAGAAAGGGACGGCUAACUACGUGCCAGCAGCCGAGGUAAUACGUAGGUCCCGAGCGUUGUCCGGAUUUAUUGGGCGUAAAGCGAGCGCAGGCGGUUUAAUAAGUCUGAAGUUAAAGGCAGUGGCUUAACCAGUGUUCGCUUUGGAAACUGUUAAGCUUGAGUGCAGAAGGGGAGAGUGGAAUUCCAUGUGUAGCGGUGAAAUGCGUAGAUAUAUGGAGGAACACCGGUGGCGAAAGCGGCUCUCUGGUCUGUAACUGACGCUGAGGCUCGAAAGCGUGGGGAGCAAACAGG